GAAGAGGAGCUCAGGCUUGACUAGUGCAGAGCCUUUGCCACUUCUCACUCUUGGCUCUGGGUAUUUCCCAGUGAGGCCCCUUUCCCCCCCACACACACUAUGCCAAUCACUGAAGUGAAGAGGUCUUCAAAAGAGAAAGAGUUUAUUCACCAGGCUGCCAAAAGCGAGGAGAUUCCAAGAAUGAAUCCACGGACAACAUGGAAGACAAGAGUGAAAGGGGCAAAAUUUAUUUAAAUGAGAUGAAAAGAAACAGAGCUCCCACGGAGCCCUAGGUUUGAGCCUUCCUGAAACCUCUAUUUGGAUCAGCAAUCACUUCCAUUUUCCCCCACUGCUCUGGAACAAAGACUUGCAUGGAAUGUUUGGAACGUUUCUACAGAUUAUUUUCUUGGAGUGAUCUUUACAUUUAAAAAAAAAGAAAGAAAGAAAGAAAACACUUAAUGGGGCCCAUUAAUUAUCCUAUCUUAUUCAGUACAAAAAAAAAAACCAAAAAACUUUUUUUUCAAAAAGCCACAAGGCUAGUAAGUAGCAGAAAUGCGGACUGAAGCUCCUGUUUCGGUUGUGAAAUCCUCUCCCAGGCUCUCUUUGGCUGCAGCUCUACCUACUUUGAGUUGUAUGCUGGAUGUAGGUGGCGCUUCCUGGAGAAGGUGCUACCUGCAAAGUGAGGCAGACACCUUCAGGGAAAACUCCUACAUUAACGCUCCUUCAAAGUUUCCUGUCUUCCUGUCAGCCAAAACUUUUUGGAGAAACUGACAAAGAACCAGCCAAGGUCACCAAGCUACUCUGACUCCUGAUUUUAGGGACCUAGAUUGAAUUGGUACGUUACGAUAUUAAACUGAGCAUGCCCAGAAUAUUUGUGUCUGCUAUCUUCCCCUUUUCCACAUUGCUCUAUGAUCUUGAGCUGAGUAUGCUCAGAAAUGACCAUCUUAAACUGAGCAUGUUACCUGUGCUGGUCUUACUGCCUGAGUGGCCUAUCUGAAUUUUGACUCUCCCCUAGUCUUUUUCUUUCUUUCUUUCUUUUUUCUUUUUCUUUUUUUUUU